CUUUACCACCAGACCAUGAGGAAAGUCCUAAAUAUAUUCAUGUAUACAAAAUCUCAUGAUUUAACAGAAGGAUUGGGUCCAAUAUCUGAAGCGUUCUGCUUUAGAGUUUUCUAAAUUUUAGUUAUCCUUCAGAUUUUAACUACAGUCAUGAGCCACCUAUACUAUGACUUAUAUAAUGAUAUUUUCUUUAAGUCGAGUAACGCAUUUAUAUGUUGCUAUUGCUCCUCACAACCUCAGGUAUUUAUUCAUUGUGGAAGCUCAGAUGAUGGACCCAGAUGUAACCUCAGGAUCCUCUUUAUUACAGCGUCUCAAGGACCCCUCUUUCCAAGUUCCCUUCUCAAUACAGCCAAGAGGCUAGAUCUCAUCAAUAAAAUAGUUGUUAUAAAAAGGGCAGAAGACUUGAAGGCAAAAUACGCCACCAACACAAGAAGGUUCAUGUUUGUAGUAAGUUUGCAUAUUGUCUUCUGAAUUUCUUUCACUCAGCCGCAGCCCAUCUGUACUGUUAUUUAUAUAACCUUUUCCUUUACAUUGAUUAAUAAUUUAUAUUUUUCCUAAAUGUAAAUUUAUUUUACAGUUACAGAAGGGGAAAUCCAGGCCCACUGUUUGUCCUGGAGACAGCUAGCUGUCCCCUGAUGGUUAGGUCUGUUUUUCUAUGGUGUAGAAUUGUUUCGAGGGAAUUCCUGGAGCAGGGACCAUAUAUCCCAGCCUCCUUUCUUUGCAGAUGUGGCCCAGUGACUGGAUCGCACCAACAAUGUGUGAGUGGAAGUGAGGUGUCAUUUAUGAGCCCUCAGAAUUAUAAGAAGUAUGUGUAUAUUAUAUACAUUCUUACUCCUUUUCUAGCUGGGCUUGAGGAAACCCCCAAAACUUAGGGGAUGGCGAGGCCACAGACAGAAGUAGGCUGUCCUAUACACCAGGUAUACGAAAGCAGGUCACUGACAGGAGCUUCCUCCACAUGCUGUUACCCAAGCCAGCUGUGAACUUCAAUUGUAUUCAGGCUACUGGCAGCUUCAAGCUCAUUUGUAACAGCAGCUAGCAUCACCAAUGUAGUAGGCUUACAGUAAGGUAGCUACAAAAAUCAAUACUUAUUAAAGAGAAGAAAAUCACUUUUAUAC
ensembl:lncRNA